GAAGAGAGAGUUCAAGAGUACGUGAAACCGUCUGGGAGUAAACGGGUGGUUCCCGAAAGUACGAAAGGGGAGAUUCAGGUCUCGCUGCGCGUCGGGCGGCGCCCGCGAUCAGAGAUGGUGUUCUCGCGGCCGAGGGGCGACCCUCGGUCCGGGGNNNGCUCCACUCCGCGGGCGCCGGUUGUUCCCGGCGCCGGGGUGACGCACUUCUCCCCCAGUAGAACGUCGCGACCCGUCGGGCGCCGGCCUAAGGUCCCGGGUGGAGUCUGCGCAGUUCGCUGCGCACGACCCCGGGGAUCCCGGCCGGGUGCUCGACGGUACGAAGAGAGGAAGGAGUCGACGCGCCGCUUGUCGGCGUCCGGCCCUCCGCAAGCGCCCGCGGGAGUCCGAGACUCCGGGCCCGGCCCGGUCUCGGUCCCUCCGCGGGGCUGUUUGCGAUCAGGAGGUGUCCUCGGAC
rnacentral:rRNA from 1 species